rnacentral:rRNA from 1 species
GGGGAAUUUUUGGACAAUGGGGGCAACCCUGAUCCAGCAAUGCCGCGUGAGUGAAGAAGGCCUUCGGGUUGUAAAGCUCUUUUGUCAGGGAAGAAACGGUGGUGGCGAAUAACUACUACUAAUGACGGUACCUGAAGAAUAAGCACCGGCUAACUACGUGCCAGCAGCCGCGGUAAUACGUAGGGUGCAAGCGUUAAUCGGAAUUACUGGGCGUAAAGCGUGCGCAGGCGGUUGUGUAAGUCAGAUGUGAAAUCCCCGGGCUCAACCUGGGAAUUGCAUUUGAGACUGCACGGCUAGAGUGUGUCAGAGGGGGGUAGAAUUCCACGUGUAGCAGUGAAAUGCGUAGAUAUGUGGAGGAAUACCGAUGGCGAAGGCAGCCCCCUGGGAUAACACUGACGCUCAUGCACGAAAGCGUGGGGAGCAAACA